CGGGUAUGGCUUAACACAUGCAAGUCGAACGAAGCCUUCGGGCUUAGUGGCGGACGGGUGAGUAACGCGUGAGAAUCUAGCUUCAGGUCUGGGACAACCACUGGAAACGGUGGCUAAUACCGGAUGUGCCGAGAGGUGAAAGGCUUGCUGCCUGAAGAUGAGCUCGCGUCUGAUUAGCUAGUAGGUGGGGUAAGAGCCUACCUAGGCGACGAUCAGUAGCUGGUCUGAGAGGAUGAUCAGCCACACUGGGACUGAGACACGGCCCAGACUCCUACGGGAGGCAGCAGUGGGGAAUUUUCCGCAAUGGGCGAAAGCCUGACGGAGCAAUACCGCGUGAGGGAGGAAGGCUCUUGGGUUGUAAACCUCUUUUCUCAGGGAAGAAAAAAAUGACGGUACCUGAGGAAUCAGCAUCGGCUAACUCCGUGCCAGCAGCCGCGGUAAUACGGAGGAUGCAAGCGUUAUCCGGAAUGAUUGGGCGUAAAGCGUCCGCAGGUGGCUGUGAAAGUCUGCUGUCAAAGAGCGAAGCUCAACUUCGUAAAGGCAGUGGAAACUACACGGCUAGAGUGCGUUCGGGGCAGAGGGAAUUCCUGGUGUAGCGGAAAGAGGGGGCAAAAAAGGUUAAAUUUUUAAUAA
rnacentral:rRNA from 1 species